rnacentral:rRNA from 1 species
CAAUAGCGUAUAUUAAAGUUGUUGCAGUUAAAAAGCUCGUAGUUGGAUUUCUGCUGAGGACGAUCGGUCCGCCCACUGGGUGAGUAUCUGGCUCGGCCUUGGCAUCUUCUUGGAGAACGUUGCUGCACUUGACUGUGUGGCGCGGUAUCCAGGACUUUUACUUUGAGGAAAUUAGAGUGUUUCAAGCAGGCGCACGCCUUGAAUACAUUAGCAUGGAAUAAUGAGAUAGGACCUUGGUUCUAUUUUGUUGGUUUCUAGAGCUGAGGUAAUGAUUAAUAGGGAUAGUUGGGGGCAUUCGUAUUUAACUGUCAGAGGUGAAAUUCCUGGAUUUGUUAAAGACGGACUACUGCGAAAGCAUUUGCCAAGGAUGUUUUCAUUGA